rnacentral:miRNA from 1 species
UGAGGCAGGAGAAUUGCUUGAACCCAGGAGGUGGAGGUUGCAGUGAGCUGAGAUCGUGCCACUGCACUCCAGCCUGGGUGACACAGUGAGACUCUGUCUC